GCCUAACCAGCUUGUUGAGAGUUGUGGAGCCAUCCAUAUAGUUAUUCUCUCGCGCGAUUUUAAUUGUGUGGGUUUGAAGGACCAGUCUAUCACUUUGUGAGGAUAAAUUGUAACUGUGGUCAAAAUGGCAAACUG
rfam:Pothos latent virus complete genome, pigeonpea strain